rnacentral:lncRNA from 1 species
AAAUUGAAAGAAUCCACCAAUAAUUUCCUGAAAAAGAUCCCAAAAACUCCUAGUCAGAUUCCAGAACUCCUUGAUCAAAGAGAAAAUAUUACAAGCAGCAAAAAAGAAACAAUUCAUAAGAGUCACAAAUCAUGGAGCCACAGUCAGGAUAAUAUAAGAUUUUGCAGUUUCUACAUUAAAGUACUAGAGGGCUUGGAAUGUUAUAUUCUAGAAGGCAAAAGAUCUAGGACUACAACCAAAAACCCGCCAGCAAAACUAAGUAUGAUCCUUCUUAGGAAAAAAAAAAAAAAAAAAAAAAAGAAAACAGACCAGCAUUUCCCAGUCCUUUUAUUGGUUCAAGUCCUGAUAUGAACAAGAACAGCUGGGUGGUGCAACAGGGAAAGCACCAACUGGGCCUGAAGUCAGGAAGACCCGAGUUCACAUAGCUGUGUGACCCCGGGCAAUACCCAAUUUGCUUUGUUCCUCCUCUAUAAAAUAUACACUGGAGAAGAAAACAGCAAGCCACUCAAGUGCCUUUGCCAGGUCCACUGGUCACAAAGAGCUGAACGUGACUGAAUGAAAAGAAUGGCUGACAUGGGCAAGGUCGAAAGUUUCUGUAGGAAAGUUAACAUUUUAAAAGUAUCCUCCAUCUGCAAACGUAUUUAAGAAUCCUCCCACUGAGGGUUCUCCUGGUGUUCACUGGGUCGAACCUCUGGAAAACUGAUGGGAAGCUGAACCAGAAUUGAAUGGAGAGGCUGUGAUGAGUAUGGGCGGUCCCACAAGUGAAAACUGUACACAGGAAUCUAGAGGGAAGGGACAGUGAUAGAGAGCAGAGUGCUGGUCAACUAACAGUGACAACAGUGAACUACUUAACUACUCCUCACUGUUGCAAGGGAGGCCUCUGCUAGACAGCAGGGGAGGAACUAGGAAGUAAGGGGGACAUCUUUAAAACUCAGCUCUGCAAUGCUUAUCAACUUCUUUAAACAAUGAAAAAAUGCACCCCCAAAAGAUCUUAUUUCAAGUGAGAACUACACAGGUAUUACCUUCUACCCUGCCCCCAAAAAAAGGCUAUAUUCUUCAAUACCCAAAUGGCAUGUUUUCAUUCAGAAGAAAAUGGAAUCAACAGUAAAGUCAAGAAUGAUAGGAAGAGAAAAGGAACAAAACAGAGUAGACUGAGAUAGGUUAACGGGAGAAAAAGAGAUGAGAAUCAGAGCAGGAAAUGCUCGCAUGACCAACAGCCCUGACAGUAUGAUGCUGGUUA